rnacentral:rRNA from 1 species
UGUGACCUCAAAUCAGGUAGGACUACCCGCUGAACUUAAGCAUAUCAAUAAGCGGAGGAAAAGAAACUAACAAGGAUUCCCCUAGUAACUGCGAGUGAAGCGGGAAAAGCUCAAAUUUAAAAUCUGGCGGUCUUCUGGCUGUCCGAGUUGUAAUCUAGAGAAGUGUUAUCCGCGCUGGACCGUGUACAAGUCUCCUGGAAUGGAGCAUCAUAGAGGGUGAGAAUCCCGUCUUUGACAUGGACUGCCAGGGCUUUGUGAUGCGCUCUCAAAGAGUCGAGUUGUUUGGGAAUGCAGCUCAAAAUGGGUGGUAAAUUCCAUCUAAAGCUAAAUAUUGGCGAGAGACCGAUAGCGAACAAGUACCGUGAGGGAAAGAUGAAAAGAACUUUGGAAAGAGAGUUAAACAGUACGUGAAAUUGCUGAAAGGGAAACGCUUGAAGUCAGUCG